GAUAAGUGCUAAAUAAUGCAUAAAUUAAUAUCUUAUUCAUAGCACUUAUCAUUAUUUUAAUUCACAUAUUUUUGUAAAUUCAACUAAAAAUUGAAUUAUCUUCAUCAUUGCAUUAUUAAAAAUAAUUCGAUUUUUGCUUGAUUAUAUUGGUCCAUCUAAUGUAUGCAGGUCAAAUCAAAUUCAUCUGGGAUGACUCCCGAACCCGAAUGACACGCACCCCGUGAAUCAGAUCUUCUCAAUUUCCUCUUCAACACAUGGCUAUCCCUAGUUCACGUUCU
rnacentral:lncRNA from 1 species